AGAAGACCAGAAGAAGAAGAUCAAAACAGACAGCGGUCAAGUUAUCAGUAACAAGAAGAACAGGAAGAACUUUUAUGAGGAGUGGAAGAAAAAUACAAGAUUGAUGAUACAGGAUCUGGAUCAGACGGAGAAACAGGCGGAGGAGGCAGGAAGCCAGCAAGAGGUCGUGGCCGUGGCCGACGAGGUCCAAACGUACAGAGCUCCGGUGACCACAAAGCACGCUCGGAGCUGAAAACAAAGGAUCAGAUCAUGAAGCAGCGCAAGAAAAAGCAGAAGCACCAGUUCCUGCAGG